UACGUAGGGGGCAAGCGUUGUCCGGAAUCAUUGGGCGUAAAGCGCGCGUAGGCGGCUGUCUAAGUCGGGUGUGAAAGCCCCGGGCUCAACCUGGGAACUGCAUUCGAUACUGGACGGCUGGAGUAUGAGAGAGGGAGGUAGAAUUCCACGUGUAGCGGUGAAAUGCGUAGAUAUGUGGAGGAAUACCGGUGGCGAAGGCGGCCUCCUGGUUCAAUACUGACGCUGAGGUGCGAAAGCGUGGGGAGCAAACAGG
rnacentral:rRNA from 1 species